UUAAAAUUUUAAUCUCUCCAUUUUUUAAUUUAAUUUCUGCCUCUAAGUUCUCCAGUAGAUCUCCCCUUAACAGGAGUUUAGGAGAAUUUGGCACAUACAAAAAACUGCCGAGUGACCCAUUGCUUUCCUAAUUUCAUUGUUAAAGAUUUAAAGAAGGGUCUAGUUUCUCGUUCACUUGUUGCACCAACACCACCAAUUUCUUCAAAACUUAACUCUCCCUCUAAGGUAUUUAAAACUGAAAAGGUGACUCUAGCGUCAAUUCAUAUUCAAUUUUCUGUUCUCCCAGUUUAGCUGUAACCAGAGCUUCUGCUGGGAGACUCCCCUCCGGUCCCCGUCAGCUACGUUCACUUAAAAAGAACAAAUCUACCUAUGGCACUUCAUUCCGUUUACUCUCUCUCCUACAAAACAACAGUAAUUGCAAUAUAGUAUUAUAACUCAAAGUUCUGUUUGUUUCCCAUUUUUCCUGCAAUUCACCCCAGUGUGCCAAUAAACAUCCCAACGGUGAUGUUUUUGGGAACGCUGCGAGGAGCUUUGUGAGUCGAGGGCGAUGGUUCUCCCCGAGAAUACCUCGGCGCCGGCCGGAGUUUGAUCGACACUCGAUCUCGUCCAGUCUCACUCGCAAGGUCCCGUCUGGGUCGCCAAAACCGUUACCGAAAUCCGGAAUAGAACUCCUUAACACCAACGUGAAGUUAAGAAGCGGGCACUUCGUUUAUCGCAGCGCUGGGGACACGGGGGAUCGCUCCUCCAAAGGCGUGUCCCACUUAGUAUCAAAAUCGGUCAGUUUUUACAGACUUUGUCUGUCAGGUCAUUGUUACAUAAGCUCUUUCCAUAAAAAGGCAUACUAUGCUCGUUCUUAAAUUUAACCUUUCUAAGGAUUGGUCCUUUGAUUAUAUAACCUUAUCAAUAUUCUUAUUUAAAAACAAUCAUUGGUCAGUUACA